rnacentral:rRNA from 1 species
AAUAGAUACCCAGGUAGUCCACACCGUAAACGAUGAGUGCUAAGUGUUAGGGGGUUUCCGCCCCUUAGUGCUGCAGCUAACGCAUUAAGCACUCCGCCUGGGGAGUACGGUCGCAAGACUGAAACUCAAAGGAAUUGACGGGGGCCCGCACAAGCGGUGGAGCAUGUGGUUUAAUUCGAAGCAACGCGAAGAACCUUACCAGGUCUUGACAUCCCAUUGACCACUAUGGAGACAUAGUUUUCCCUUCGGGGACAACGGUGACAGGUGGUGCAUGGUUGUCGUCAGCUCGUGUCGUGAGAUGUUGGGUUAAGUCCCGCAACGAGCGCAACCCUUGUUCUUAGUUGCCAUCAUUUAGUUGGGCACUCUAAGGAGACUGCCGGUGACAAACCGGAGGAAGGUGGGGAUGACGUCAAAUCAUCAUGCCCCUUAUGACCUGGGCUACACACGUGCUACAAUGGACGGUACAAACGGUUGCCAACCCGCGAGGGGGAGCUAAUCCGAUAAAACCGUUCUCAGUUCGGAUUGUAGGCUGCAACUCGCCUACA